UACGAAUUUUAUACCACACUUGUCUAUACAUUUUUUGAAAUUCUAUCAAUCAUUGUGUAGUUGUACUCUCUGUUUGGUUAGUCAUUAGAUAUUUGGCACAGGUAUUAUUCCUCCACGAUUAUUCGUGGUCAUAACCGUGUAAUACAACCGUCUUUUUUUAAUUAUUUCUGUCUAAGUAAAUAUUUAUCUAUGCAAUUUUUUUGAAGUGAAAACUUCUCUUGGGAGGCUCUGGAUUUCAUAGGAGUAAACAAGUGAAAUGAUUAAUAAAUUGCACAGAAUUUUUUUUCUUUAACUGCACAUAGUGAAGUUUGCCUUUC